AUUGAACGCUGGCGGCAUGCUUUACACAUGCAAGUCGAACGGUAACAGGGUGCUUGCACCGCUGACGAGUGGCGAACGGGUGAGUAAUGCGUCGGAACGUGCCGAGUAGUGGGGGAUAACGCAGCGAAAGUUGUGCUAAUACCGCAUACGUACUGAGGUAGAAAGUGGGGGACCUUCGGGCCUCACGCUAUUCGAGCGGCCGACGUCUGAUUAGCUAGUAGGUGAGGUAAAGGCUCACCUAGGCGACGAUCAGUAGCGGGUCUGGGAGGAUGAUCCGCCACACUGGGACUGAGACACGGCCCAGACUCCUACGGGAGGCAGCAGUGGGGAAUUUUGGACAAUGGGCGAAAGCCUGAUCCAGCCAUGCCGCGUGUCUGAAGAAGGCCUUCGGGUUGUAAAGGACUUUUGUCAGGGAGGAAAUCCCUAGUGCUAAUACCGCUGGGGGAUGACAGUACCUGAAGAAUAAGCACCGGCUAACUACGUGCCAGCCGCCGCAGUAAUAC
rnacentral:rRNA from 1 species